rnacentral:rRNA from 1 species
CUACGGGGUGCAGCAGGCGAGAAAACUUUGCAAUGUGCGAAAGCACGACAAGGUUAAUCCGAGUGGUUUGUGCUAAACGAACCUUUUGACAGUCCUAGAAACACUGUUGAAUAAGGGGUGGGCAAGUUCUGGUGAUCAGCCGCCGCGGUAAAACCAGCACCAUCAAGUGGUCAGGAUGAUUAUUGGGCCUAAAGCAUCCGUAGCCGGCUCUGUAAGUUUUCGGUUAAAUCUGUACGCUCAACGUACAGGCUGCCGGGAAUACUGCAGAGCUAGGGAGUGGGAGAGGUAGACGGUACUCGGUAGGAAGGGGUAAAAUCCUUUGAUCUAUUGAUGACCACCUGUGGCGAAGGCGGUCUACCAGAACACGUCCGACGGUGAGGGAUGAAAGCUGGGGGAGCAAACCGGAUUAGAUACCCGCGUAGUC